rnacentral:rRNA from 1 species
AACGAACGCUGGCGGCGUGGAUUAGGCAUGCAAGUCGAACGUGAAAGGGGCUUCGGCCCUGAGUAAAGUGGCAAACGGGUGAGUAACGCGUGGAGAACCUGCCCGGAAGCGGGGAGUAACACUUCUAACGAGGUGCUAAUACCGCAUGUGUCUGCGUGAGCGCAUGCUCGCGCAGGUAAACGUGGCCUCUGCUCGCAAGCUACGGCUUCCCGGAUGGCUCGCGUCUCAUUAGCUAGUUGGUGGGGUAACGGCUCACCAAGGCGACGAUGGGUAGCUGGUCUGAGAGGAUGGUCAGCCACACUGGGACUGAGAUACGGCCCAGACUCCGUACGGGAGGCAGCAGUCGAGAGGCUUCCGCAAGUAGGGGAACCCUGACGGAGCGACGCCGCGUGAGCGAUGAAGGCCUUC